rnacentral:lncRNA from 10 species
CGCGCGCCCCUUCCCGGACAGUUCCUCUCGGCGCCCCCGAGUCCUCCCCGCGCGCCGCUUCCCGGGUGGGCCCUUCCACCAGAACCCCCUGGUAGAUCCUCCCCUGGUGCCCUGGGGGUAGAGGGGAGAUCCUCCACAAGGGCCAUUUCCCUGGUGAUCCCUCCCUGUGCCCCACAGGUGAGUCCUGCCGUAGCUCUCCAGGGGUUCCUCCUGAUGCUGGGGUCCUCCGGCAUUCCUCCCUGAGCCCCCCAAGGGCCCUGAAGCUCAGCGGCCCAGCCCUGGCCUCGGGGUCCCCACCCCACACCUCCCUUCCAGGCCUAACCUUUGCCCCCGACACCAGGCAGGGCGUGUCCUUGGCCUUCGCCGCCCAGCCCGCGUGGCAUCUCUGGACAGGUGGUCGUGCGCGCCUUGGUGUGGGCAGGCUCCGUAGCCGGCAAAGCCUCCCUGAACCGUGACCUGGUGAGAAGGCCGCAGAGGAGGUGCCUGUGCCCAGAGGCCACCUCCAAAGACCCCACCUGAGGCUGGAACCCAGCGCCUGCUGACCCCGCCAGCCCCAACAGGGCUGGAGUCCAGGAGCGGCCGUGCUCUUUCCGCAGUGAGGCAGCUGCCUUCUCUUCCCACCACCUGUCAGGAUGCCUUCCCGUGUGUGCUUGUGCACAGGUCUAAGGAGAGGAGAGUCCAGUGAGUGACCCAGACGCCCCAGCCAGGAAGAGCAUGAGAUGCUGGAGGGAGCUGACAUCUACUUGGGACAUCCCUCUCUGUAGGACAUGGAGCGGAGCGUUCAGGGCUAUCAGGAGGGAGCCCCGUGGCCACGGUGCAAGAUCUAGGCAGGCGGGACAGACAUGGUCAGGAUGCUGGGGACACAGCAUGGGGAAUCCAGCACACAGGACACCAUCCAGGAAAGCAAAGCUGCAGCCUGAGAUCUCCUUCCACCAACUCCUGGCAUGGCCAGAAAGUUAGCCAGAAACACCAGAAAGUGCCAGGCAGCUAGGAAGCAUGGGGAGAGCCCCCUGAAGCUGCGUGUGUAGUGCCUGCUUCCGCUGCCAUCCCAGAAAUGGACGAGCUUCACCCUGAGAACCCAGCCACACCACUGGGACACAUCCUGACAGUGACAUGCACACUCUUCCCUGGCCCCAGCCUGGAGAGGAGCCUCCUGAAGACACCAGCCUUUGCUCCUUCUCCCAGUGGGAGUGGAGAGAACUGACUGCUGGAGUGGAGACAGUCAAGGCUGUCCUUCUGAGGGAGCACAGCACAGGGUCUGGUGUCCCAGGGAGGCAAUCUGAAAUUCAAGCCAGGCCUCCCCAGCGGAGAGGACACACCCCUCACCAUGCAGAGUGACGUUUAGUAAACUCUCAAAAGAGAGCACAGAGCCCCACUCCUCCAGCCGACCCAUACUCUGCCUCCCCACUCCAGACCAGUGAACAAGGUGGAUUGCCCUUAAGCCAGCUCAGAGGCAAAGUCCAAAGACCUCAGGUGAGUCAAACAAUAAAAACAAAGAAUUAAGAAGAAUCCAGCUGGGUGCGGUGGCUCACGCCUGUAAUCCCAGCACUUUGGGAGGCUGAGGCGGGAGGAUCACGAGCAGGAGGUCGAGACCAUCCUGGCUAACACGGUGAAACCCCGUCUCUAC